AACUGAUACUACCUGCGGGAACCUGCGGAAGGAUCAUUACCGAGUGCGGGCCCUCGCGGCCCAACCUCCCACCCUUGUCUCUAUACACCUGUUGCUUUGGCGGGCCCACCGGGGCCACCUGGUCGCCGGGGGACGUCCGUCCCCGGGCCCGUGCCCGCCGAAGCGCUCUGUGAACCCUGAUGAAGAUGGGCUGUCUGAGUACUAUGAAAAUUGUCAAAACUUUCAGCAAUGGAUCUCUAG
rnacentral:misc_RNA from 1 species